rnacentral:tRNA from 1 species
CGCGGGGUGGAGCAGUUGGCAGCUCGUCGGGCUCAUAACCCGGAGGUCGUAGGUUCAAGUCCUACCCCCGCAACCA